CCUUGAUUUGCCUUUUUUCCAGCUACCCAGUGGACAUGUCCUAUAUCUGGUUUCCAACUUCAGAUAGACUAAAAUCACUUUUCACCAUCCUGCCAGAAUCACAGUUUCUCUGGUGGUUAGUCUUGGUGGUCUCCUGGGGGAGCCAGAGAGUCAUCUCUUGUUUACAGGUAGCUCAUGAGUCAUUAAAUCUAUUUACAUACCAGGACUUCAGCAAGAUUUUAAUACAGAUACCGGUGCAGGGUAAAGCUGGUUCCCAGGGAUGGUGGGGGUGAUUCAUCACACACUUAAAAGGAGACUGGCCUCAUUUCCUCCCCAGCUUGAAGGGAAAUGAUCCCUCUGCUCUGUGGCCACAGAUCUCCAAGAGGGAGGGGCCUGGCCACCUGCCUGGCCCUGUCUACUAGGCUUGUUCAACUGAAGGCAGGCUUGAAACAUGCUCUGCUCUCUCCUUGCCCUUCUCCUGGGCACUUUCUUAACGGGUACUCUCCUCUCUGGUGUCGGAGCACAGACCAUCCAUCAGUGGCCAUCUACCAAGGUGAAGCUUAAGGGGAGCCCACUCUCCCUGGAGUGCACAGUGAAGGGGACAUCAAGCCCCAACCUAUACUGGUACCGGCAGGCUGAAGGAGGGGGCCCCCAGAUGCUCUUUUACUCCAUCACUACUAACCAGGUAGCCUCUCAGGCGCCCGAGAACUUAGAAGCCUCCAGACCCGAGGAUGGCUACUUCAUUCUACAUUCUAAGAAGCUCCUGCUCAGCGACUCUGGCUUCUAUCUCUGUGCUUGGAGUAUCACACUGAGCUGUGUGGGGCAGACCUCUGUGCAAAAACCCACCCUCCCCUGA